AUGAAUAAUCUUGGACACUAAUCUUAGAAGCUCCAUUUUUUCAUUUUGCUUGGGACAUCUCACCCUGCUAUGAAAAGCCAUAUACUUACUAAAUUCUCAUCUUCAAAAAUGCCUUUUUUUUUUUAAACCUCUUUGAAUCUGAUCACUCAGGCUUGGUAAAAUCCUUGUCCUUGAGUUUAUUCAAAGUUCAUGGGAACAGCAUCUCAUUGUAUCAUUCUUGCCAAAAUUGCUUAAGCAGAAUUGAAUCACAAGGAAACAAUCACAUAAAACCAGAUUAGGGCACAUUCUGCCAGACAACUGCCCUAAACUCUUCAAAAAACUUGGAAGACAGAGCAAAACCAAAAAGGCAGGGCUGGAGGAACAAACACCUUCUUGGAGUCUUCUCUCCACUGGCAAGCUAAGGAGGAGAGAGGCACAAGGUAUAUCUGCAGAAGUAACCCCAUGGAUUUAAAAGUAGCUACAGCAUCAAUUUAAAGGUUCAAUGAAGAAUGUACAGCCAUGUAGAACUACAAUUGGGGAAAACAGGAAUAAUCUAAUGGAAACAGACCGAGUCGGGAAACCUAUCAAGCCCCGUCAGCUCAGCUUCUUCUUGGCCUCUCCGUGCAGCAUUUCCUUCUCCCAGGAUAAAAUCCUGACUCCUGUAGUGCGUGUGUAGGGUGACUGUAUGACUGAUACUCAAACUGGGAUGGCUGUUAAUACAUAUGUAAGGAAAACAGAUGCAAGGAGGACUCUCCCAGGAAAACCAAGAUGUAUCCAUGAGACCCUGCUAGAUCUGGCUGCGGCCCCAACUGUCCCUGUCCUCAUCUGCCCACUUUGCUCCAGCUACCUCAUUAAAAUGUAGCAGGGAUCCCGCCCGCUUUCUUCACUGGAGUAGCCUAUGUCCAGCACUGUUGCAGGCACAAAGUGAGGAAACGGAAACACAGAGGGGCUGUGUAACCUACUGAAGAUUACACAGCCGGGAAACGAUGGAGCCAGGUUUCAGAGUUCUGACUCCAAUAUUUUAAGCAAUAUCUGAUUGUGGAGCUGGAUAGGAAUUAAUACUUUUAAAAAAUAUACAGAUGUUCCUUCCUUUCAAUUAAACAUUCUGAAUUAAAAUGAAAACUUAAAAAAGUUGAAAUGGUCAAGCAUAAACAUUAAUUAAAAAGCAAGUCAUUUUUAUAAGAUAAUAAUAUUUCGAGUAAAAUGUAAAUAAAACCACUUCAGGUGGGGUUUCCUGGAAUCAGGCCCUGUGCCUAAGAUUCCUAUGCAGGAGCUUUAUAGGGAAGAAUUCCUUGGAAGUAAGGGAAGCAGGACUGGACAGAAGGAGAAGGUAAGCUAUAAUAUAGCCAACACAGAGCCCAUGGCGCAGGAUGAGUCCUCAAGCUGGGAUCACCCUUCAGAGUUAUCUGCCAUCAAGGCAAGGGGUCUGGGCUUCUGUGCUCUGCCUCAACCAGUCACUGGAUAUGGGCUGCCAGUUUGGAGGGCAUGUGAGCUUGAGUAAGGCAGCUUCUUUGGAAAGAGAGUUAGCUGUGAGUCAGCACUUCCCUGCAGCUGGAAGAAUGAGCAUCAUGCUCUUGAAGGAUCUGAGUGGCACAUCACAGUAUCCACCACAGAAAUCGUGAACUACUCAAUUUACAAAUGUUCAGUUGCUCCAGAUUGUCCCACUGGGCUUCAGACUCAUGUAGCCCACUAUCUACUAAUUGUGCCUAAAGCGUAAAAUAUAUGCUGCAGGGGGAUUGACUAGAAAUAGGAUUUCAGGCCGGGCGUGGUGGCUCACACCUGUAAUCCCAGCACUUUGGAAGGCCGAGGCUGGUGGAUCAUGAGGUCAGGAGUUCUAGACCAACCUGGCCUAGAUGGUGAAACCCUGUCUCUAUUGAAAAAUACAAAGAAAUUAGCCACGCGUGGUGGUGGGCGCCUAUAAUCUCAGCUACUCGGGAGGCUGAGGCAGAGAAUUGCUUGAACUCGGGAGGUGGAGGUUGCAGUGAGCCGAGAUCGCGCCACUGCACUCCAGUCUGGGCGAUAGAGCAGAAAAAAAAAAAAAGGAUUUUGGAGGUAAGUUGAGUUGGGGUGAAAGCCUUAAAUGGUAUGCCAGGGAGUCUGGGUCAGAGGGAAGCCUGGUGGCUUCAUGGAGAUGGAUUAGCACAAGGAUAGAGCACUGACAAGUAUAUCAUUCAGGAGCUGUUAUAACAGCUCAUUGCAAUGAGGAGCAGAGUCUGAAUCAGUAUCAAUGGGAUGGAGAAGAAGUGCUGAACUUGCAAAAUGUUUUAAAGGUUGUAUUCAAUGGUUUUGAUAACUGAAUGUGGAAGAUGAGUUAAUGUUUGAAGUAAAGCCCAUAACUCUAUAUUGAAAGGCUAUCAAAGGUGAUGCUUGAAGAAAGAUCGUGGUCAUGUUCACUCUGUGGAGACAUGUGGGGCCAGGCGUGGUGGCUCACACCUGUAAUCACAACACUUUGGGAGGCCGAGGUGGGCGGAUCACUUGAGGUCAGGAGUUCGAGACUAGCCUGGCCAAUAUGGUGAAACCUCAUCUCUACUAAAAAUACAAAAAUUUGUUGGGCAUGGUGGCACACGUCUGUAGUCCCGGCUAUUCAGGAGGCUGAUCACUUGAACCCGGGAGGCAGAGAUUGCAGUGAGCCAAGAUUGAGCCACUGUACUCCAACCUGGGCAACACAGUGAGACUCUGUCUCAAAAAAAAAAAAAAAGAAAA